rnacentral:rRNA from 1 species
UCAAGUGAAAAAGAGCAUAAGGCGGAUGCCUUGGCACUGGGAGCCGACGAAGGACGUGACAAGCUGCGAUAAGCUACGGGGAGGAGCACAUAUCCGUCAAUCCGUAGAUUUCCGAAUGGGGGAACCCACCUAUAGUAAUGUGUAGGUAUUUUCGUAUGAAUCUAUAGUACGAAUAAAGGCAACCCGGGGAACUGAAACAUCUAAGUACCCGGAGGAAGAGAAAGAAAAAUCGAUUUCCUAAGUAGCGGCGAGCGAAAGGGAAAGAGGCCAAACCGUUAGUUUACUAACGGGGUUGUGGAUCACAGCCGUGGUAGAUACAAGUUUAGCAGAAGACAACUGGAAAGUUUGCGACAUAGAGGGUAAUAUCCCCGUAUGCGAAAAAUGAGUAUCACCUAUGUGACACCAGAGUAGGACCGAACACGUGGAAUUCGGUUUGAAGCCGGGGGGCCCACCCCCCAAGCCUAAAUACUACCCAGUGACCGAUAGUGAAUAGUACCGUGAGGGAAAGGUGAAAAGGACCCCGGGAGGGGAGUGAAAUAGAACCUGAAACCUUAUGCUUACAAGCAGAGGGAGCGCAAGUGACCUCGUACUUUUUGUAGAACGGGCCAACGAGUUAUGGUAUGCAGCGAGGUUAAGGUGCUGGAGCACUGGAGCCGUAGAGAAAUCGAGUCUGAAAGGGCGAAAGUUGCAUGCUGUAGACCCGAAACCGGGUGAUCUAUCCAUGUCCAGGUUGAAGUAACUGUAAUAGGUUAUGGAGGACCGAACUUAUAUCUGUUGAAAAAGGUUAGGAUGAGGUGUGGAUAGGGGUGAAAUUCCAAUCGAACUCGGAUAUAGCUGGUUCUCCUCGAAAUAGCUUUAGGGCUAGCCUCGUAGUAAGAUACCUGGGGGUAGAGCACUGAAUGUUCUAGGGGCCUUCACCGGUUACCGAAAACUAUCAAACUCCGAAUACCAGAGUAUCAUCUACGGGAGUCAGACUAUGUGAGAUAAGUUUCAUAGUCGAAAGGGAAACAGCCCAGACCGUCAGCUAAGGUCCCAAAAUAUAGGUUAAGUGGAAAAGGAUGUGGGGUUGCACAGACAGCUAGGAUGUUGGCUUAGAAGCAGCCAUUCAUUCAAAGAGUGCGUAAUAGCUCACUAGUCGAGUGACCCUGCGCCGAAGAUAAACGGGGCUAAAACCUAUUACCGAAGCUACGGAUACUUAAUGUAUGGUAGAGGAGCGUCGUAUACGGGUUGAAGCAGUACUGUAAGGUAUUGUGGACUUUAUACGAGAGAGAAUGUUGGCAUGAGUAGCGCGAGGCAGGUGAGAAUCCUGCCCACCGAAAAUCUAAGGUUUCCUGAGGAAGGUUCGUCCACUCAGGGUUAGUCGGGGCCUAAGCCGAGGGCGAAAGCCAUAGGCGAUGGAUAACAGGUAGAAAUUCCUGUACCACCGAAGGUUGUUUGAAUGAUGUGGGGACACAGGAGGAUAAGCUGAGCACGCCGUUGGUAGAGCGUGUCCAAGCGUCAAGGGAGUAUGAAUAGGCAAAUCCGUUCAUAUAUAUUCUGAGGCGUGAUGGGGUGGUCAAUAGACCGGAAGCAGCUGAUUUCACACUGUCAAGAAAAGCCGCUAAUUAGACCUAAGGUGCCCGUACCGCAAACCGACACAGGUAGAUGAGGAGAGAAUCCUAAGGUGAGCGAGAGAACUAUUGUUAAGGAACUCGGCAAAAUAACCCCGUAACUUCGGGAGAAGGGGUGCCUGCUUCGGCAGGCCGCAGUGAAAAGGCCCAGGCAACUGUUUACCAAAAACACAGGUCUCUGCAAAAGCGAAAGCUGAAGUAUAGGGGCUGACGCCUGCCCGGUGCUGGAAGGUUAAGGGGACGUGUCAUCGCAAGAGAAGCACUGAACUUAAGCCCCAGUAAACGGCGGCCGUAACUAUAACGGUCCUAAGGUAGCGAAAUUCCUUGUCGGGUAAGUUCCGACCCGCACGAAAGGCGUAAUGA